CAUGCUGCCAUAUACGUUUCAUCCACAAGUAGCUGAGCACAUGGUAAGAACAUGGUGACCGCCAGUUACUUGAGCCCAGCCCUGAAGGAGCUUCAGAAGAGUGCUGAGGAUGCUGGCAUCACCAUCGUUAGUGAGAUGGGUCUGGACCCUGGCAUUGAUCACAUGUUGGCCAUGGAGUGCAUCGGCCAGGCCAAGGCAGACGGUUGCACUCAAAAGGUGAGCACGAUAUGAUCGUCAUGAGGAACGAUUUUGGAAUCAGACACCCAACGGGUGAGCUGGAGACCAAACACAUCAGUCUGGUGGUCUACGAGGAUCCCGAUGGAUACUCAGCCAUGGCCAAAACCUUGGGCUACCCAGCAGCUAUUGCAGCCCAUAUGGUGCUCAACAGAAGACCAGCUUGCAAUGAUCAUUUGGAGAUGAACUGACCACUACAGGACUCAUGGUGCCGAUGACGAAGAACAUCUACAGCCCACUUCUGAAGAGACUGCAGGAGAAGGGUCUCCAGUGCAUCACCAAGAGCACCUUAUCAGAGUAACCCCACAGCUUAAGAUCUCCAAAUUCACUCAUUCUGUGCCACACGUGUGUAAUGAAACGCAAACAUCCAUCACAUACUCCACAAUGAAUGCUUGCAGAUACUGUUGAGUUCAGAGUGGUCCAGUGGUUAGUACUUUUGUUUUCAAACUCGCAUCUAUAAUAAAUAGAUUUAGAUGAUCUGUAGACAUUGACAAGGAGUUUUCAUUUUUAUCAAUGUUGUCAUAAAUUGGGAGCGUAAAUAAACUCCCACAAAGCACUUUGACAUGGAACCGUCCCAUUUCCACUUCCUGGCAUUGAAAAUGAACUUGAUACGCCGUCAUAGUUUUCUUAACUUUCU